UGGGGAAUCUUGCACAAUGGGGGAAACCCUGAUGCAGCGACGCCGCGUGAGCGAUGAAGGUUUUCGAAUCGUAAAGCUCUGUCCUAUGGGAAGAUAAUGACGGUACCAUGGGAGGAAGCCCCGGCUAACUACGUGCCAGCAGCCGCGGUAAUACGUAGGGGGCGAGCGUUGUCCGGAAUUACUGGGCGUAAAGGGUUCGCAGGCGGCAUGGCAAGUCCGAUGUAAAAGGCGAAGGCUCAACCUUCGUAAGCAUCGGAAACUGUCAAGCUUGAGUGGAGGAGAGGAAAGUGGAAUUACUAGUGUAGCGGUGGAAUGCGUAGAUAUUAGGAGGAAUACCGGUGGCGAAGGCGACUUGCUGGACUUCAACUGACGCUGAGGAACGAAAGCGUGGGUAGCAAACAGG
rnacentral:rRNA from 1 species